UCGCUGCUUGCGCAGGCAGUCCACUUAGAGUGCCCAGCUUGACCUGAUGGCAACUAAGUGCAGGGGUUGCGCUCGUUGCAGGACUUAACCUAACACCUCACGGCACGAGCUGACGACAGCCAUGCAGCACCUGUACAAGUGUGUAUUGCUACAAGACCGACUUUCAUCGGUUGUCACUUGCCUUUCAAACCCAGGUAAGGUUCUUCGCGUUGCAUCGAAUUGAACCACAUGCUCCACUGCUUGUGCGGGCCCCCGUCAAUUCCUUUGAGUUUCAACCUUGCGAUCGUACUCCCCAGGUGAGAUACUUAACGCGUUAGCUUGGACACCGAGCCUUGCGGCCCGACAUCGAGUAUCCAUCGUUUAAGGCGUGGACUAC
rnacentral:misc_RNA from 1 species